GCAGAUACACAAAUACCAUACUAGAAACAAACACACGCCCCGAUCUCUCUCUCUCUCUCUCUCUCUUGCAGCAGCCAAGAAAAAUGGCGCCGGUGAAGGUGUUCGGGCCGGCGGCGUUUGCUAACGUGGCCCGGGUGCUAGUGUGCCUGGAGGAGGUCGGCGCCGACUACGAGGUCGUCGACAUAGAUUUCAUGGCCCUGGAGCACAAGAGCCCCGAGCACCUCACCAGAAACGUAACCUCCCCGACUACUCGAAUCCUCUAAACCCUUUUCCUUGAUUUUUGCCAUUCCAUCAACUGAUUUCCGUGCUGGUGUUUUAAUUUCUUGCAGCCGUUCGGGCAAAUCCCUGCUUUCCAGGAUGGCGAUCUGAUCCUCUUCGGUAUGAUAGGUCUUCCCUUUUACAGUUAACUUUGUGAUUGUCAUAACACAAAUGACUUACCGGCAUCUUAAUGGGACCGAGUAGUAAAGUGAAUGCACUAGCCUUCAAAUUUGUUUCCGGUGGAUGCUUGCUGAGGUUAUUUGCAGAUCAGCAGGGCCUGAAGUCUUGUUAAAAAAAAAGGACCUGAAGUGAAGUCACAUGAAAAAUUAACCAUUGCGGUCCUCAGAAUAUUACUACAAUUUUGGGCCAUGAACUUGUUAAUUUUGGGGUAUCAGUACNNNNNNNNNNGUUCGGGCCGGCGGCGUUUGCUAACGUGGCCCGGGUGCUAGUGUGCCUGGAGGAGGUCGGCGCCGACUACGAGGUCGUCGACAUAGAUUUCAUGGCCCUGGAGCACAAGAGCCCCGAGCACCUCACCAGAAACGUAACCUCCCCGACUACUCGAAUCCUCUAAACCCUUUUCCUUGAUUUUGG
rnacentral:lncRNA from 1 species